UUCAAAAUGGAAAUUUGAAAGUUGUUUUCAACAAACGUCCAACGGUUCUCCCCGAGCUGGUGUUUAUUAAAUUUUUAAAGUUUAUAUUUAUAAUAUGUGUAUUUAAUUGACUUGCGUAGCAUUUAUUUUACAACUAUAUACGUUUUGUGAACAGUGAUUCAACUUUUCUAAUUUAUUUGUUCACAUUAUUUUUGAGAAAGAGGUCCCAGAGAUGUCCCAAAUUGCCAACCAAGGGAAGAAGAAACACUCUUCAGGGCAAAACAUAAAAGUAGCUGUGAGAGUUAGACCUUUAAAUGAAGAUGAACGAGCUAGGAGAGUCAGGACUACUGUGCAAUGCGUAUCAGCCCGCGAAAUACAAACAAGAGAAAAAAAGUAUAAUUUUGAUAGAGUGUUUGAUUCAGAGAGUACCCAGAUGGAUAUUUAUCAGUAUGUUGUAGCCCCAAUGAUUUCUGAUGUGCUUGCUGGGUAUAACUGCACAGUAUUUGCUUAUGGGCAAACAGGUACUGGCAAAACACAUACUAUGACUGGAAUGGAAAAUGGUUUAACUACAAAUGUUAAUUGGAAAGAGGAUGAUCUCGCAGGUUGUAUUCCUAGAGCAGCCGCCAACAUUUUCGAUGAAAUCGGAAUGAUGAAAGUUACAGACUACCAUGUGAGGGUAUCAUUUUUAGAACUGUAUAAUGAGGAGGCUAGGGAUUUACUUAGUCAAGACGAACGUCCGCCACCACUCAACAUGUUUAGCGAUAAUAAAGGCUCAGUUUGUAUUCAGAACCUAAAUGAAAUAACAGUAUUCAGUAGCAACGAUAUUUUUGCGUUGCUGCAACAGGGCACGCAUAAAAGACAAACAGCCGCCACCCUUAUGAACAAUUGCAGCUCGAGAUCGCAUACUGUUUUUACAAUAACGGUUCACACUAGAGAAAUCGAUAUAUCGGGGGAAGAAGUGCUUAAAACUGGGAAGAUUAAUUUGGUGGAUUUGGCCGGUAGCGAAAAUAUAUUCAGGUCUGGAGCAAAAGAUAAACGGGCGCAAGAGUUGGCCAACAUUAAUAAGUCACUACUGACUUUGGGCAGAGUUAUCCAUAUUUUAGCUGAAAAAACGAACAAACAUGUCCCCUACCGUGACUCCAAGUUAACGAGAAUCUUACAAGACAGUUUGGGAGGACACACCAAAACCUGUAUCAUAGCAACAAUAUCACCGUCCCAUGAAUCGAUCGAAGAAACCCUUAGCACUCUCGAGUAUGCGUGCCGAGCUAGAGAUAUUCGAAAUACCCCGAUGGUGAACGAAAAAGUUACCAAGACACAAAUGAUAAAAGACUUGACCCAGGAAAUUGAGAAGUUACAAAAGGACUUGGAUGCAGCAAGAUCGGGCGAAGGCUUUUUUAUUGAUAAAACUAAUUGGGAUGAGUUAAAUACUCAAUUACAGAGCAGUUCAAACGCGUUGACACUAAAAAAUAACGCGAUUGAAGAACUGAAAAAGAAAAUUACAGAAAGGGAGACUAUUUUGCAGAUUAGAACUAAAGAUUAUGAAGACGUUAUGGAUGUAUGUAAUCACCAAACGAAGAAAAUUGAAAAAGCAAAGACGCUCUUAAAAAAUUUUAAGAUGUCUCUUAAACAAGAACAGUACUUAGCGAAGUGUUACUAUGAAACAGCCACGGAACACAAGCUGAACGCCGACCAACUCUUAGAAGCUACCAAAAAACUCUCAAAAAACCAAGACAUUUUACAGCGAAAGCUCGAAAGCCAAUAUUACAACAACUCAACUAAUGAAAAAAUCAUCCAAGAAGCUGGCGCCUUUCUCAGCAGUAACAUUUCGCACGCUAUGACUGAUAUAGAAAACUUUAAUUUCUCUUUAACUGUACAUUUGGAGGGUCAAGGUGCUUCUGUACAGUCAGCCAAAGAACUAUGUCAAAGUUAUUCUGAGGAUUGUAAUAAUUUUAUGGAACAGAGCCGCUUUGCGCUGGAGCAACAGUUUGCGAGUAGUGACCGGAGUAUUGAGGACAGCAACAGAAUUGGAUUGGAAACAAUUGAUAGGUUAAGAAAGGAAAAUGAGUCGGGAAAGCAGUUGGUUAAGGAAAAUGAACAUUAUAUGGAAGAGGUUCAGGAAAUGUUUACAAAAUUCGACGAGUCAGCAUCUUUAAAAAUUAAAUGUAGGGAGGAUUUACUGAUGUCCAUGCAGAAAGAAAUGAAAAUUCGUCUUUUAAAUAUGCGAAAAAAAUGUGAAGAGAAUUUGGUUAAGCUAAAAAUGCGCUGCGAAAUGGAGGAGGAGCAAAUUAAUUGUUUGGAUGAUGCAUUGAAAUUCGCUGACGUUUAUGAUGAAUCAAGAUUAUCCUGGUUUAAUGAUGAACGAGCCGAACAGGAAAAACUGAAAGAAGAAUAUCAAAACAGCUGUGAUAGAAUAAAAGAAACCAACAUUCAACUAACUCAAUGCUUAAACAAAACAACCACCGAAUUAAACCAAUACAAAACGCACUGCAUAGAAUCCGAAAAAACAUUGAAAUCAACGCAACAAAAUCAAAGUCAUUUGAUAAAAGAAGUUAUUGCUAACAGGCAGAACUUAACCACAAAUUUUACUAGUAAAAACAUAGCUGAACUUCAUUCCAUUCAGGAAAAGAUUGAUAAGUUAAGGUCAAAUGCGGAAAGCAGUAUUACUAGAGUAAAAAAUAUUUUAAAUAUAACAGAAGAAGCCCAGAAGGAGAAAUUUCAAUCGAUAAUUACGGUGAGAAGAUCCGGGGAUACCCCGAAGCAGAAUCAACUAAAUUUUCCAAAAAGAAUCGGUGAGGGGGCUUUGUCAAGAGAUGUUUUGAUUAAAAGAUUUAGGGAGGAGUGUCUUGAGGUAGGAUUAUGGAAAUGAAUCAUUUCAACUCAACGAUUCGACAGUAAUGGAUUCGGUCCAGUCAUUAGACAUGUCUGAAGAAAACAAAGAGAAUCAAAAAGAUCUUUCGCCGCUUACGAGUUCCCCCACGUAAUAUUCCGUUUGUCAGGAUAUUUGUAUGUUUUAGUAUGUGUAAAUAUAGGACCUAACUAUAAUUUAAAUAAUGUAUUUGUUUAACAUAAAGUAUUGUGAUAAAUAAUCUUGCAAAUGAGAAGGUUUUUAAUUAUCUUUGUGCUUAGCUAAUAUUUCUGAAAUAGAUUCAAUUUUAUAUUUACAUCACAAUGUACAAAUUAUUGAAAAUUUUUUAUUUAGAAAUCCUAAAGAAAGUAAAACAUAUUAGGUUUGUUAUAUAAUUUCAAAAUAGUUAAAAAUUACUCAACCUCUUGGAAAUAAUUUUUGAGAUUAGUCUUAAAUUUAAACACCACAGCAAAGCAUUUUUUUUGAGGGAUAUUAAAAUGCAGUUUUGAGGCAUCUGACUGCUUCCAGUCAGAUAGUUUUUUUCUCUUAACGUCCGGGUUUUUAGCACCUUAACACAUUUUCAUUGUAUACUAGUGUUACUGUUAAACGUCAAUAACGCUGUCAACUUGAAUAAAGUUUUUUUUAUCGGA